UAUUAAGAGCAUUCGAGCGUACAUUCUCGUUGGGAACACAUUUUCUCUUUGUUUGGAAGCCAUAUUUGAUUAAUAUCAGGCCUCUACUGUAGUGGUUAUUACUUUUCAAAUUCAGGCCAACGAUGGCUGUGGUGAAGUUGCGUCGCAACUAUGUUAUCUAGGCAGGAACACCAUCGAAUUGCCAAUGUAUUUGGCUUUUUGAGCAAUAAAUGACACGAAAUAAUUAAGAGCUAGUUAAAAAUGUUUUCAUGAUUGAUUAGUUAGUACUGGCACAAUAAAAACCCUUUUUCUUAAUGAAGUAUAUCAUUAGCGAAUGAUAAAAAUGAGUCCAGGAUGUAUUAAGCAAAGACAUUCAUUCAUAAAAGAUUUAAUUUAUGAUGUAUAUGAACUUAUAAAAAAUUGGUGCCACGUAUGAAAAUAAUUAACUACGCCCAAAGAAAUACAGACAUCAAGUCAUUUACAUUUGAAAUGGAUAUACUAUAACGUAAGGCGUUUCAUUAAGAACUUUGAUCGAAAAUAAAAGCUAAAUAGAGAGUGCAAGUAAUGAAUAAACGGAUAGUAAGUGUCACUAACAAUGAAUGGA